rnacentral:tRNA from 1 species
UGCGGGGUCGUCUAAUUGGUAAGACGCACGUCUGUCAAACGGAGAGAUGCGGGUUCGAAUCCCGCCCCCGCAA